rnacentral:lncRNA from 1 species
GUGAGGGAAGCUGAGGAGGUCACAGGAGGCCUGGCCUUGGCAAGAGUAGGCAGGGAGGGCUCUGCCACUGCUGUGCUGGCUAACCGGGGCCGGGAGAGCCGGCGAGCAGCGACCCACCCUCAGGCGCCCGUGCAGCUCUGUGUCCAGGGCUGCCAGGUAGUGGAAGUGGAAGGCAGAGGCUGUGUCCAGGGCAGACGUCUGUGUGUCCUCAAAGGAGCCCUUCAGCACCAGCUCCAGCUCCAACUUGUCCCAGUCUGGGGGCGGGUGGGCAGGUUUAGGAAACCAGCAGCAAAGCUGGACAGAAGGCUGGACCAGGCCAAGGGGGAUUCUAAAAAAGUCCUCCCGCCAGCCCCCAUGGGACUCCCACUUCCCGGGUCAAGGGACCCUCCUGCCCUUUCUACCUGCUCCCCCAGGAGUGCUCCCUGCUCUGUCCAGAUGAACAUCCAGGCACGACAGCUCCCGGGCCUAGGGCAGACCAUGGUGUUGACUGCAGGCAGCUGGGACCACCUCAGCCUCAACCCUCAGACCGCUCUUUCCCAAACCCACCACGUGCAAAUAGGACGCGGGGUCCAGAGACGGAUUGCGGCGUGCGCCCCCUUGUGGCCAUUCUUUCCACUGCAACUUGCGGCUUUGGGCAUGAGGCCAGGUCCGGAAGAAGAGCUGAUUGACUUGAUCUUGUCCGGGACGUGCUGAAAACUCCCUCAGCACUGGCAACCUGAAGUUGGGCCUGGCCCUGCCAAGCUUCAGCAUGACUUCACAACUCCAGAGAAGAACUCAGCUCCUCACACAUGACCAAGCCACAUCAGGAAGAAUCUGAUGUUCCCUCAGCCACAGAGCCUCAGACCUCCUCUCAACAGAAUGCUUCUCGACCCCUGGCUGGGAUACUGGGGGUGGCCUCACCCAAAAGCCCUUCCCUGUUUGUCCCUUCUCACCUGCCUCAGCACCACCACCCCCAACCCUGUGCUCUGGAUCCUGCCCCAAGACUGGGAAGGUGCUUACCACAAGGACAUCGUUGGUGAUCAGGUAUUCUGGAGGGUCCAGCCUA